GACGAACGCUGGCGGCGUGCCUAAUACAUGCAAGUAGAACGCUGAAGGAGGAGCUUGCUCGUCUGGAUGAGUUGCGAACGGGUGAGUAACGCGUAGGUAACCUGCCUGGUAGCGGGGGAUAACUAUUGGAAACGAUAGCUAAUACCGCAUAACAGUAGAUGUUGCAUGACAUUUGCUUAAAAGGUGCAAUUGCACCACUACCAGAUGGACCUGCGUUGUAUUAGCUAGUUGGUGGGGUAACGGCUCACCAAGGCGACGAUACAUAGCCGACCUGGGAGGGGGAUCGGCCACACUGGGACUGAGACACGGCCCAGACUCCUACGGGAGGCAGCAGUAGGGAAUCUUCGGCAAUGGACGGAAGUCUGACCGAGCAACGCCGCGUGAGUGAAGAAGGUUUUCGGAUCGUAAAGCUCUGUUGUAAGAGAAGAACGAGUGUGAGAGUGGAAAGUUCACACUGUGACGGUAUCUUACCAGAAAGGGACGGCUAACUACGUG
rnacentral:rRNA from 1 species